rnacentral:rRNA from 1 species
CCUACGGGUGGCAGCAGUGAGGAAUAUUGGUCAAUGGACGGAAGUCUGAACCAGCCAUGCCGCGUGCAGGAAGACGGCUCUAUGAGUUGUAAACUGCUUUUGUACAAGGGUAAACCUGAAUACGUGUAUUCAGCUGAAAGUACUGUACGAAUAAGGAUCGGCUAACUCCGUGCCAGCAGCCGCGGUAAUACGGAGGAUCCAAGCGUUAUCCGGAUUUAUUGGGUUUAAAGGGUGCGUAGGCGGAUUGAUAAGUUAGAGGUGAAAUGUCCGAGCUUAACUCGGGAACUGCCUCUAAUACUGUUGAUCUAGAGAGUAGAUGCGGUAGGCGGAAUGUAUGGUGUAGCGGUGAAAUGCUUAGAGAUCAUACAGAACACCGAUUGCGAAGGCGUCUUACUGGACCGAAACUGACGUUGAGGCUCGAAAGCGUGGGGAGCAAACAGGAUUAGAUACCCGGGUAGUC